rnacentral:rRNA from 1 species
AUUGAACGCUGGCGGCAGGCUUAACACAUGCAAGUCGAGCGGGGUGAUGGUGCUUGCACUAUCACCUAGCGGCGGACGGGUGAGUAAUGCUUAGGAAUCUGCCUAUUAGUGGGGGACAACAUCUCGAAAGGGAUGCUAAUACCGCAUACGUCCUACGAGAGAAAGCAGGGGAUCACUUGUGACCUUGCGCUAAUAGAUGAGCCUAAGUCGGAUUAGCUGGUUGGUGGGGUAAAGGCCUACCAAGGCGACGAUCUGUAGCGGGUCUGAGAGGAUGAUCCGCCACACUGGGACUGAGACACGGCCCAGACUCCUGCGGGAGGCAGCAGUGGGGAAUAUUGGACAAUGGGGGGAACCCUGAUCCAGCCAUGCCGCGUGUGUGAAGAAGGCCUUAUGGUUGUAAAGCACUUUAAGCGAGGAGGAGGCUCUUUUGGUUAAUACCCAAGAUGAGUGGACGUUACUCGCAGAAUAAGCACCGGCUAACUCUGUGCCAGCCGCCGCCGUAA